rnacentral:lncRNA from 1 species
AACUAAUGUAACCUGUAUGCUUGUAGAUAAUACCAGGAAGUACUUUUUUUUAAAGCGUUUACAACUUUGACUAACGAGUAGGCAAGAUGCGUAUCAUCAUAGAUUUGUGCAUACUAUCUAUUUAUUUAUGUAAAACUGUGUUUUCAAAAUGCAAUAUUACAUUAGAUAUAUUAGGACACAAGGAAGCCAAUUGUAAAGAUCAAGGAUUAACAACUGUUCCUAUUAAUUUAGCACGUGAUAUUAAUAAAUUGGAUUUAAGUUAUAACAAACUGACUAGACUGGAUGCUAACAUACUUCUUAGAUAUAAGUAUCUAGAACAUAUAAUGCUUGAUAACAAUGCUAUUAGUCUAUUGCAUAAAAAGGCUUUUAACGGCUUAUCAUUGUUGACUCAUUUGUCUAUGUCAAACAAUUAUCUGAAUGUAGCUGAAUCGUAUCCCACUGGAGUGUUCGAAUCCUUAAAGAAUUUAUCCGUUUUAGACAUUAGUAGAAAUAUGAAAUCAAAACAUUACAUACCGUAUAGUCUUCCCGUUGGUGAAAUCGGUAACUUGCGCGAACUGUCAAUUGAUCUUGUGUUUAACGCAUCGUUCGGACAGGAAUUCAAGAAAUUGAUCAAUUUACAAACGUUGAGAUUUGACUACUGCCAUGUGAAUUUUUUAUACAAUGGAACAUUUUCAGAAAUGCCAGUACACAUAAAGGAAUUCCACAUGACAACUUGUAAAGAUUUUGUCGUUGUUGAAAUUGGUGUUUUAGUUCCAUUUCCACAUCUUAAGGUACUUAAUAUCACUAACAGCAAUAUUCACUUAACACAGGCUCUCCGAAUUUUACAUCCGUUUCAGAAUAAAUCAAUGGAAGCAAUUCUUUUUCGUGGGAUUACUUAUGUCAAUUUCAAAC